rnacentral:rRNA from 1 species
UCCGUAGGGGGCCAGCGUUGUUCGGAAUUACUGGGUGUAAAGGGUUCGUAGGCGGUGCGGCAAGUUGGGAGUGAAAUCUCUGGGCUUAACCCAGAGGCUGCUUUCAAAACUGCUGUGCUUGAGUGUGAGAGAGGCUCGUGGAAUUGCAGGUGUAGCGGUGAAAUGCGUAGAUAUCUGCAGGAACACCCGUGGCGAAAGCGGCGAGCUGGAUCACUACUGACGCUGAGGAACGAAAGCUAGGGGAGCAAACAGG